UACGAAGGGGGCUAGCGUUGCUCGGAAUCACUGGGCGUAAAGCGCACGUAGGCGGCUUUUUAAGUCAGGGGUGAAAUCCUGGAGCUCAACUCCAGAACUGCCUUUGAUACUGAGAAGCUUGAGUCCGGGAGAGGUGAGUGGAACUGCGAGUGUAGAGGUGAAAUUCGUAGAUAUUCGCAAGAACACCAGUGGCGAAGGCGGCUCACUGGCCCGGUAUGACGCUGAGGUGCGAAAAGCGUGGGGAGCAAACAGGG
rnacentral:rRNA from 1 species